rnacentral:tRNA from 1 species
GCCUGGGUGGCUCAGUCGGUUGAGCGUCCGACUUUGGCUCAGGUCAUGAUCUCACAGCUCGUGAGUUCGAGCCCCACGCCGGGCU